CCUACGGGUGGCAGCAGUGAGGAAUAUUGGUCAAUGGACGAGAGUCUGAACCAGCCAAGUAGCGUGAAGGAUGACUGCCCUAUGGGUUGUAAACUUCUUUUAUAAAGGAAUAAAACGACCCACGUGUGCCUUUUUGCAUGUACUUUAUGAAUAAGCAUCGGCUAACUCCGUGCCAGCAGCCGCGGUAAUACGGAGGAUCCGAGCGUUAUCCGGAUUUAUUGGGUUUAAAGGGAGCGUAGAUGGGUUGUUAAGUCAGUGGUGAAAGUUUGCGGCUCAACCGUAAAAUUGCAAUUGAUACUGGUAGUCUUGAGUACAGUAGAGGUAGGCGGAAUUCGUGGUGUAGCGGUGAAAUGCUUAGAUAUCACGAAGAACCCCGAUUGCGAAGGCAGCAUACUAAACUGUGACUGACAUUGAGGCUCGAAAGUGUGGGUAUCAAACAGGAUUAGAUACCCUAGUAGUC
rnacentral:rRNA from 1 species